UACGUAGGGGGCAAGCGUUGUCCGGAUUUAUUGGGCGUAAAGAGCGUGUAGGCGGCCAUACAGGUCAGCUGUGAAAACUCGAGGCUCAACCUCGAGACGUCGGUUGAAACCGUUUGGCUAGAGUCCGGAAGAGGAGAGUGGAAUCCCCGGUGUAGCGGUGAAAUGCGUAGAUAUCAAGUGGAACACCAGUGGCGAAGGCGAGUCUCUGGACAUUUCCUGACGCUGAGGCACGAAAGCCAGGGGAGCAAACGGG
rnacentral:rRNA from 1 species